GUGAAUGGAGACAUAUCAAGACAUGAAGAAAGAGAUUCCAGGGAAUAUGUGAAGACCAUGAUGACAUGGGGAGAGGUGCCUUUCUCUCUGAUUGGACCAAGUGAGGGUGAAGGUGAGACUUCCAAGGAUGUAUUUCCAGUGACAUGAACCAGAAAUUAUGUCUGCAAUAUGUUUAAGCUGUGCUGGGUAACUCUAAUUUUGCCCAAGAACUCACCUUGGAUAAGGAUGAAGAAGAAAGGCUGAAUGUGCAAGACCCUUGGAGAGCAGAUGGCAGGGGCUCAAGAUAGUGCCCCUGUUUCACUACUCAGACAAGAGCUACCCAGUUCAGCUGCUCACAGAGCUGUGAUCUGAGGAAAAACUUUUAUCACUAGGAAGAGAGAGGAGCAAGUGGAGUGCGGCAAGGGGAACUGCUAGUAGUCUGCUUUCCUGGAAACUGCCUGGUCCUCUGAGAACAUGGAAGCCUCUUUAAUGGAUGCCAUCUCAUCUUGCUAAAGAUGACCUGAAAGGGUGCCUGUUAUAUAGCUCAAGAGCCUCUUUGGGUACUGGAGUCCUGCAUUACUCAGAGAUCAAAGAGAAGAGCCCUUCCUCCAGAUUUUGAAUAUCAAGAUUUUUCUCUAAAGAGAUUUUUCUUCUAUGCUUCUCUGGGCUGCUAUGAAUUUGCAGCCCAACUGAGUGGGCUAACAAUGUCUUUUGAUCACAUACCAACUUGUGGUCAUCAGAACACUGGUGACAUUCAGUCACAAAAGAAAACCAGGGAGAGAGGGAUCUCAAAGUGGCCUUGGUGACAAAAGGGACUUCCGCAUUGAAACAUGUAUCUCAGGCAAGGGUGUCACACAAUGAGCAGACUGUGACCAGCUGACAUUUCAUCAGUGAGUCGCUGCUCAAGUAUUUGGAAGGGAUGCAUUGAUCCCACUCUCCUGGAAAACCCCAAAAGCUCUCAUAAAAUGCCUGCUUUCAUUUAGCUGUUGUUAAAACAACUAAAAUUCCCUUCUCAUAAUUGUUGGGACAUCUCAACAAUAUAGUCCUUUCUCUCCCAGCUUGCAACUCAAACAAAUAUUGUUUCAUUUAUUUCUUGCGGGUUCCCCAGUCUCAUACCCAUGUAAACAACUUUUCAUGUUGAAAGGCAUUUUCCAGGACUCCCUGAGGGUGGCAGUAUUGUUCACACGUGAGUGACUAAUACAAGAAAUUAGGCACCUGUUAGGGAAAUGAUUUAAGGAGCAUGGAUUUACACUAUCAAAAUGAGCAAAGAAUAUAGU